CACAAAUCAAAGAAACCUAGCGGUUUAACUUCAAAUCCUUGACCAAAAAAAAAAACUUCAAAUCGCUCCUUCUUCUCUCCGUCGCGCACGAGCUCCUUCUUCUCCAUUCCUCGCCUACAGCUCCACUGCCGGCCACCCUAACCGCCGGAGCUACCUUCUCAUUCUUCUCCUCUUUUUUAAACAGAGCAAGCUCCGUGUCUUCGCAGAACAAAGCAAGCUCAAGCUCCACCACCGCCGCGCCUCUCUCUCUCCUUUUAUCCCCCUCAGUUUUGGCUCGCAUACCUUCGCGCAAGCCCUAGCUCUGUGGCGACCAAAAUCGGUUCCACCUCUCUCUUUCCCCCUGUUCGAACUGAUAGGGUGCGUGAACUAGGGUUUUGGUUUUGUGGCAGUGGUUGUUCAUCGGAGAGCCACUGGCGAUGCUCCUAUGCUCUUGUUGAAUGGCGAAGCUUGAAGCAAAGCUGGAAACGAUAGUUGAUUCCGUUGGUAACUUCUUCUCUGGCAAAGACCAGCUUCCCUGGUGUGACCCUGAUAUCGUCGCUGUCAAAAUCGAAGUGGCGACUAUUCAAGGAGUAGGGAUCUUGUGGAGAGGUGCCUAAUAGUUGUGAGAAUAUCUUCUCUUCUGAACUCUUAUAUGGAGUUUAAGUUUCAACUGUGAGAAUAUAGAAAGAAAGCAAAAAGGAAAAGAUGUUGAAGGUGAAGGUGUAUGCGGACCGCAUGUCCCAGCCAUUUCGUGCCGUUCUUAUCUUCUGCAAGUAAUUCAAUUCAACGUUGUAUUUCUUUUCUGGAAUUUGAAUUCUGCUACUACUACUGCUAAUGCUUAAUUUCUCAAUAGAGUUAAUGGAAUAGAAUUCAACGAGAUUAAAGUUGAAAUCUCCAAAAGACAGCAGUUAUCUCCCGAAUUUGCAGGUAAUCGUUACAAUUACUAAACCUCCAUAAUCUGUCUCUAUUAACUAUCAACCCUUUCAAGAAACUCCCUGCUAUUGUUGAUGGAAGGUUCAAGCAAUUCGAGAGGUGCUGAAUUAAGGAGAGAAGAGAGAGAGAAUUUUGGAGAUGGCUUGCUCUUAUUAGGAAGACCCUUAAGCUUGUUGGUUGAAUGCUUGAAAUAAUAUUUAUUUGCAUUUUCAAAAUGGGGAUCAUAUUUAUCCUGUCUUCCUCAUGAAUUUUUUUCCCUAGCAAAUGUAGAAUAAUAAUUUUUUUGUUUAAAGUUGAACUGGUUUCUGAUUUCAUUAUGGUUUUCUCAUUAUUAGGCCUGAAGAGAGCAUUAUUCUGAAUGCUCUUUCUGCUACCGUUGAUUUUACUACUUGUGAAUCCAUAAGAAUGUCUCAGUCUGUGGAUAAAACUGGUUUGAGAACCUUGGCUGUUGUAACAAAGGCUGAUAAGUCUCCUGAAGGCUUGUUGGAGAAGAGGCUAGUUCAAGUUCAAGGCAUGAUCAUAUCCAAAACUCUGCCCGAAAUUGUGAAGAAAAUCAAUGAGAAGCUGACUUACAAGCUGACUUAAUUUCACCAAGAUGCUCAACCAGAAGUUCUCCCUCAAUCACAGGUUGAGGUUGAGGUUGAGCUUUUAACUUCCUUGGCAAAGAUUCUAUCAAGUAUGAGAAUACAGUUGAGGUUGAGCUUCCUGUUUACGAUGCACUUUUGAAGUUCCAAAAAGAUAAGCGCCCCGGUGAUGAUCUUUUUGACAAGUUGGAUACAAGUAAAUUAAAUGCUCAUCUGAAGGAACUCAUGCCUGGCCUAACUGCAAAGGUCUUCCGUACAUUCAAUGCAUCUAUCACGUUGGAUGAUAUGUUGAAUAAGGAAACUAAAGAGGGUGAUGUUGUCGAAAAGAUUCUUGUUUAUCAACAUGCAAAUAAACAGGUUGCAAUCAUUUGUAAUCAUCAACGCAGUGUUUCAAAAUCUCACUCAUCACAAAUUGAAAAGUUAA